CAGAGCCUGGAGAGCGGGAAGAGACCGCACUGGGAUUGCUGCUCUGGUUUGUUGGGGCCUGGAGAGCGGAAAGAGACCGCACUGGGAUUGCUGCUCUGGUUUGUCGGGGCCUGGAGAGCGGGAAGAGACCGCACUGGGAUUGCUGCUCUGGUUUGUUGGGGCCUGGAGAGCGGGAAGAGACCACACUGGGAUUGCUGCUCUGGUUUGUUGGGGCCUGGAGAGAGGGAACAGACUGCACUGGGAUUGCUGCUCUGGUUUGUUGGGGCCUGGAGAGAGGGAACAGACUGCACUGGGAUUGUUGCUCUGGUUUGUUGGAGCCUGGAGAGAGGGAACAGACUGCACUGGGAUUGCUGAUCUGGUUUGUCGGGGCCAGCACUGGCAUUGUUCAUUUUCUGCUUAUAUAUACACACACUGGAAAAAACUGAUACUCCUUUGCCCACAUCUUUGUCUGAAAGGAGUCAUUCAGAGUGGUUUUCCUCUAAAUUUAAGAAUAAUAUGCCAUGACUCAGAAUAAAAUAAGAAUGUAGCCCAUCAUCAUGAAUCUUUCUCUGGAAAAACAGCUGAAAAUCCUCUGCAAAUUCCAUCUUAAUCUGCUGAGAAGUCUGGGCAUUACUUUUCCAGAGAAUUUGCUGAAAAGAAAGAAAAAGGAGGAAGGCCCAUCUCUAAUGACUCUAAUGGCAAAACCGUUUGCCUGCAAGGACUUUUCAUAGAUGACACAAGAAUUUACUGUUAAUGUCUUUGGGUCAGAUCAUUGCAUGAUACAAAUUGGAAUAUACCAUUCUGUAACUCAAACUUUCUAUUUCAAUUAAUGCUUCAGAGAUUUUCUAUGAAGUGCCUCCAUUUGCACAAAAAAAAUGAUGAGGCUAUGACCAUGCUAAAAUGUACCAGGAUGUAACAGGAUACAGGCUGGGAUUUUCAGUGGGUGGAAGCCAGUCUAUCUUCUAUAUUUAAAUGAUUUAUAUAGGCUUUAUAUAGCUGGCAUGAACUGCCUAUGCUUUUCAGCAAGGACAAAGGCAGGGUUAAUCAUUCCUGUGCAAGGACUCCCAGCCAGGUAUUUCUCAUUCUCACCUAUUCCUUUCUCCAAAACAAAAAAUCCAAUCUGUGACAUUCAGCAAGUACUCAAUGACAAGCAUGGUAGCAGAAAAACCUCAGAAAGCCUAAGAUUCACCAGGUAGGUAAAGAAGGACUGAAGAAGUGCCCUUUCCAGGAUUCUGAUGGGCAGCAUGAACAAGCAAAGCUCUUCUUUGCUUGCAUGCUGGCUUUUUACUGUGAAUAUCCUGAGCACAAACCAGCAUAAAUGAAAAUAUACCAAACUACUGGUAGAAAUGUACAUGCCCUUUACCUGUUACUCGGAAACGUCUCUGUACAAUGAGCAGAGAUCAGACCUUGCUACAUGAAAUACAUAUAGCAUAUGCAAGUAUACCAGUUAAUAUUUCUGUCUGAAAACCUAAACAAAUAUGUUACAUUUUAUUGUCCAGAAAACCAAACACUGACUCCCAGCAGGUAGGACCGUAACUUUUGUUGCAUGGGACUCUGCAGGAAUCCUGAACUUCAAGCAAGCCAUGAGAAUUGUUUCUCAGCAAGUCCCAGCUUUACAGUAAAAGCAACAAAGGUAGGUGACUGGAAGAAAAAGUGCAACUGUCACGGCAAGAUGGACAUUAUUUUCAAAAGAAAAGUAGUUUCUCUGUUCCACAGCUUUUGUUUUAUUCUCAUCUCUGCUGUAGUGCAAAAUGGUAGAUUCAAGAUUAAAGGCUGUAUUCAGUGCCACAAGAACUCCUUUACCUUUGUUAGCAGCCAGCAAAGAAUUUGCAGAAACCUUUCAGACUCUUUCCAAAUGGGACUGGGUUUGGGCUAGAUCUACUUUGAAAAUUGUUGCAGUGCUAUCUUGGCCCAUUUCAAGUGCAUUUAAAAAAACUGUAAUCUGGGAUUUGUACUGCUGGUCUGGUAAGUCAGACAUCCUCAAGAAGCCCACCUAUUAGACCUCUAGCUUCUCGAGUUGAACAACACCCUCAAUAGCAACAAAUUUCCACUGUCCCACCCAACCCUGUGAUGGGUCAUGAUUCUCUGGAGGUCUGUCUGUUUUGUGGUGCUGGAGUAAUCCUGCCACGGAAGAAUAUAGUUCUGGAGGGCCAAGACUUGCAAGCUUCCAAAAUGUCUUAAAAGUAUCUGGAGUGGAUUCCCUUUUCUUGUGCAAGAUGAGCAGACAGCGUAGUAGAUUUUGUUCUAUUAAUAAAAGUCAGCUCUGCUAGGGGGGUCUUAUUAUCUGCCUGUUCUUAAAUAUUAACAAGACCACCAUCUUUGCAUUUCAAAAAACCCCCCACAUUUUGCAAAUAUAUUUAUUGGAAGAACUGUUUAGCUAACUUUAGCCUAUGCUUCAGAUGAAUACAUUUCAGGCAGAGCAAAGCAGUAAAGCACAAAGCAGGCUUGUAAAGCAACACCACAAUCCCAAAUGUAUAAUGUAUAGCUCUAAAAUAAGCAGAUUUUUCUUUGAUUAUUUGAAUGUUGUCCAGGAAAGUGAGUCUUCAUGGAAGAAAUUACUUUUUCUAUGCAUUGUGAAGAAAAAUUUCCUAGAAUAUGGGCAGGGCAAGAACUAAAAUCCCUGAUGAGUGUUAUUUGUUAUGAAAUAUAAUGCUUUAUAGUUCUUUGAAGGAGGGAUUUCCUUGCAACAAGGACUGUACUAUUUCAACAGUUAUUUUAAUAAGAACAUGUCCAAAUGCAUUUGUUUAGCCGUUUUCUCUCCUCUUUUAUGGAGCAGGAAGUUUCAGAAUAUAUGGUUUUUGAAGAGCCUAUGUGGAAAUUGCACCGAAAAGACGUACUUUGAAGUAAUGGCAUUCUUAUAUUUUAUCACACUGAAAUAACAAUUUGAAACACAAGGUUUGCUUCCAUAUGUUGAUUCAACACAAUUUUUUCGUAAGCUUUUCGUCUAUCUUCACAAAAAUCAGAACAUCAGUAACCUCAGAAAAUACCAGCACUGUACCCCAAAAUACAAAAUGUCUGUGUGAUCCCAUUAUCUCUAGGAAACUGCUCCAGUGGAAGGAAUUAGCCAUUGUCUGAGUUCAUUAAAAAUUCCUUCCUAUUGGGUUUAAUUCUUUAUUGCUUUCUGGGAGAGGAAGUUUUUCUACAUUAUGUAUGUUUUUUUUUCAUCAUGGAGUAGAGACACCACAGUUCUUGCUUCAGUUUUGUACAGAGAAAAUUGAAAAUGGAAAAACAUCCAGAAUUUGCUGAGGUUCUGGAAUCUAAUGGGGAAGGCUGACCUUUUGCAUGUGGGAUGAAUAUAUCACACAGAAAUUUCAGGUUGGUGCCAACGCCAGCACUGAUUUUUUUCAGUUCAGCUGCGGGUUGGCAAUGAGCUAAUCCAAAGCUGCCAAAUUCAUUUCUCAAUUGGUCCUGACUCCAUGCCACUGCGAAGAUGUGAGGUGCACACACAGCUGAUUUGAUCAUGUCUCCUCCCUAGAAACUUAUCUGGCAUUAGGCAGUUUAUGACUAUCAAAUAUUUAUUAUGUUGUCAGAGGACAAAGCCAGAGAUAAUUGAUGUUUUCCAUAGCAUGUUGGCUGUUUGAUAAGUGGUGGGAGUUUCCUCAGCACUUCAAGGAAUGGAGGUUCUCAGCCCAGUGUCUUCUUAUUUUGCAAAAUUCCCAUUCAUCUAUACAAGGUUGCCAAGCCAUGAGAAGAUAUUUGCUGUGUGUUCUACAAAUAGAGGCUCACAAUGCAGCAGAGCCACCAUCAUUUGCCAGGCAGUGCAGGGACUAUCAGGGAACAUGCACCACAGAUUCUCUGGAUGGCCUCUGUCACUGCAACCACAAUAGCAAGGGAAGGGACACUGUUAGGACCCAAAAUAUUCUGACCCAAGGCAGAAAGCCACCUCAGCCUCUGGAGAAAGGUUGCUGCCGCAAACUCUGGCUUAGGACUGGGAAGAAAAUUGUUUUCUGUGGUUGUCACAGUGUGAUAGUACUGGGAAAGCUGGAGAUCACACAGAAACUGAAAAAACCCACAAGAACCCACAAACCCACAAACAAGCCCACAAACAAACAAAACUCCACUCUCACAGUAAGUUAAGGAUCAGAUUAUUCCUAUUUUAACUUUGGUGAUUCAUCCAACCAGGUUCUUCCAACAAGAUUCCUGCACAAAGUGCUUGAGGUGUCUAAAGAGCUAAGGCCUUGGGGUCUGGAAACGUUUAGUUAAAAUUUUGGCUCUUUCACUUCCUUGUGCAGUUUCCAGCUGGCUAAUUCACAUUUCAGUGCCUCAGAUGGUUCAUCAGCAAGUCAGAGUGACAGCAGUGUCCCCACAGAAGUAGUGAUGGGGAAUAAAACAAUGUUCCUAGAUAUGUAGAUUCUUAACAAUGAAAAAACAAAGGAGAAAAAUAUGUUUAUUUUAAUGAUGCAGUAGCUAUAUAAAAGAUUGUGAUCUCGGCUAGCUAAGAAAUAUUGCUCCUAAUGACUUUGUGAGGUAAGAUUUUUAAUUAGUUUCAAGUUGACAGCUGUUGGUUAUAGUCAUCUGGGUAUGUAUUUGUAUAUCUAAAGAUUAUGGUAAAUUACUUCUUUUGAUGCCUGUAUUAAAUCAUAUUUAAAGGGUGGGUUGACUGUUAUGUGCAACAAAAAGGAUAGAGUUUGUUCUGUCCAUGGGGAUGUAACUCCAAAUCUGUGGCCAGCUGUUCUGAGGGGCUUUACAAAGCCAUAAACAAGUUUAAAAUGCAGUUUGGAGAAAUAUUAUUCUUGGUCAGUCCUAUGUGAAAGUUCAUUGAAGGAUUGUGAGCACUAUCCCUUACUCCUGAAGAAAGACCCCUGCUGUCCUCAUAGACAAAAAUCUUGUCUAAUCUCAACAGCACUUUGGGAUAGCUAGUGCCGUUGGGCCAAGGGAUCUGGCUUUGUUUUUGCAUUGACCUCCAAGGCUGCUCUGUAUGGCUUUGUUUUCUUGCAUAACAUUUCCCACAAUGUAAAAAAGAAGGAUGGCUUUGUUUUGUUAUGGAGAUAGGCAUAAAUAUUAAGAACAGACACAGAUAAAACAAUAAACAUUCUUAACUGAA